rnacentral:miRNA from 1 species
ACAAUUUGGGACUUAGGGCUACAA